GUAUGGUUAUAUGUCAUACGCACCUGCUUUGGGAGCAGGGGGUCCCCAGUUCGAGUCCGGGUACCCCGACA
rnacentral:tRNA from 1 species